rnacentral:rRNA from 1 species
UACGUAGGGGGCAAGCGUUGUCCGGAAUCAUUGGGCGUAAAGAGCGUGUAGGCGGCCCGAUAAGUCCGCCGUGAAAGCCCAGGGCUCAACCCUGGGAUGCCGGUGGAUACUGUCGGGCUAGAAUCCGGAAGAGGCGAGUGGAAUUCCUGGUGUAGCGGUGAAAUGCGCAGAUAUCAGGAGGAACACCGAUGGCGAAGGCAGCUCGCUGGGACGGUAUUGACGCUGAGACGCGAAAGCGUGGGGAGCAAACAGG